rnacentral:rRNA from 1 species
GAGACAGUUCGGUCCCUAUCCGUCGCGGGCGUAGGAAAUUUGAGAGGAUCUGUCCUUAGUACGAGAGGACCGGGAUGGACAUACCGCUGGUGUACCAGUUGUUCCGCCAGGAGCAUCGCUGGGUAGCUAAGUAUGGAUGAGAUAAACGCUGAAAGCAUCUAAGUGCGAAACUCACCUCGAGAUAAGAUUUCCCAUUACGUAAGUAAGUAAGAUCCCUGAAAGAUGAUCAGGUAGAUAGGAUGGAAGUGGAAGUGCUGUGAGGUAUGGAGCGGACCAUUACUAAUCGAUCGAGGACUUAACCAA